rnacentral:rRNA from 1 species
CAAUAGCAUAUAUUAAAGUUGUUGCAGUUAAAAAGCUCGUAGUUGGAUUUCAAGAAACGCGGGGGGCAACCUAUCUGCUUUCUACCAGUCUUAGACUGUUACUGUGAGAAAAUUAGAGUGUUUCAAGCAGGCAAUUGCAGGAAUACAUUAGCAUGGAAUAACGAAUGUGUCUACAAUUUGGUUAAUUGUAGAUUACGGUUAAUAGGGACAGUUGGGGGCAUUAGUAUUUAAUUGUCAGAGGUGAAAUUCUUGGAUUUGUUAAAGACUAACGUAUGCGAAAGCAUUUGCCAAGGAUGUUUUCAUUAA